GGAGAGGCUGUGCCUCAGUGGCAGAACACCUGCUUUUCAUACAGAAGGUCCCAGGUUCAAUCCCUGACAUUUCCA